AAGUCGUAACAAGGUUUCCGUAGGUGAACCUGCGGAAGGAUCAUUAACAAAUUUCAAGUAAUUAAACAACUGUGCAACGCUGGAUUAUUAGUUUAUAGAUUACUGAAAGGUGAGACUAUAAAUUAAUAAGAAAAACAACUAAAUAAUAAUGUAGUCAUGUAUAUAAUAAAUUUAAAUACAACUUUUAACAAUGGAUCUCUAGGCUCUC
rnacentral:misc_RNA from 1 species